CCUACGGGGCGCAGCAGUGGGGAAUAUUGGGCAAUGGACGCAAGUCUGACCCAGCAACGCCGCGUGAAGGAAGAAGGCUUUCGGGUUGUAAACUUCUUUUAAGGGGGAAGAGCAGAAGACGGUACCCCUUGAAUAAGCCACGGCUAACUACGUGCCAGCAGCCGCGGUAAUACGUAGGUGACAAGCGUUGUCCGGAUUUACUGGGUGUAAAGGGCGCGUAGGCGGGAUAGCAAGUCAGUCGUGAAAUGCCGAGGCUUAACCUCGGAGCUGCGAUUGAAACUGUUAUUCUUGAGUAUCGGAGAGGG
rnacentral:rRNA from 1 species